UCCUCAAGGAACUCGGCAAAAAAGCAUUCGUAAGUUCGCAAUAUGAAUUACCCCGCACCUUUUUAGACUUUUGAGAAAAAUAAAGAGCCUCAACUUGAGGCUCCGGACGAAUCAUUUCGUUUGAGGCAAUUGAUUGUUCUGACAAUUGGUAUGAUGCCAAGUGUGAGAAGAAUUGCCAUCAAAGGAAAUACAAUUGAAACAAAAAUCCUCCCGGCCAUUGUAGGGCCGUGAGGUCCAUCGUAGGAGAUGGACAUGAUUACCAUAAAUAUAGCUAUUAGCCAUACUGCUAUUGCAGAGACUAUACAGAACAGUUUUUUUCCAUCCAGACUUAAACUGUUUAUGAAGCCUUUUGCCACGAACAUGGUAUUUUCCUCCCUAAAUUUUUCUGUUUCUAUUAUAGAUUAUUUUUUCUUAAAGUCAAGAGUCUAAAAAGGUGCGGGGUCGCAGCUAAAGUAUGCUUGGCGACUGUUUAUCAAAAACACAGCUCCCUGCAAACACGUAAGUGGAAGUAUAGGGGGUGACUCCUGACCAAUGCGAGAAGGUUAACGCUGGCGUUUCAAUGUAGCAAUAUGUUGGGGUGACCGGCCGAAGCCCUCGUCAAUGUCGGCCGUAACUAUAACGGUCCUAAGGUUAGUGGCGCUGCCUUAGUAAAAUCUAGCUAUAUGCUGGAAUAUCUGUAGUAUCCGGCGUUACUAUGGUAUAAUACGUCCAUAGAAAUAUGAGCAUUAUAUCAAGUGAAAAAACGUCCGGUGCAGACAAUCAGCAGGAAAGACUCAAAUUCGGAUAUUGGAUUUCGGGCUUUACCGAUGGAGAAGGAUGUUUCUCUGUUGCCGUAAUAAACAAUAAAACCACGAAAUUUGGAAAACAAAUUUUUCCGGAAUUCGUGGUUACUCAAGGUGAGAAAAGUUUAUCGGCAUUGAAGAAAAUAAAUAAAUUUUUCGGUUGCGGAAAUAUUUUUGUAAAUAAACGAUACGAUAAUCACAAUGAGAAUCUAUAUCGUUAUUGCGUCCGCUCUUUACAAGAGCUGGAUUCAAAAAUUAUUCCGUUUUUCGAAAAAUAUCCGCUCCAUACGUAUAAGCAAAACGAUUUUUUUAUUUUUAAGAAAGUUGUGAAAGCAAUGAUCCAAAAAGAACAUUUAAGUGAAAGUGGCAGAAAGAAAAUUCUAAAACUUAUCAGUAAAAUGAACAGGAAAAAGAGGUGAAUUUGAGAAUCCUCAGAGACUACACGCUAGACUCCGAUCUUGUAUCGGAGAAGAUAUAGUCCGAUCUUCAUGGCGACAUGAAGGAUUCUCGAUUAAGGAAUAUCGGGAUAAUAAAGAAGAUAAGCGCAAUUCCUUGUCAGGUGAGUUCUGACGCGCACGAAAGGAGCAACGACUGAGCAACUGUCUCGAGGAUUCGCUCGGUGAAAAUGCGAUACCGGUGAAGAUGCCGGUUAGGCACAGAUAGACGAAAAGACCCCAGAAGCUUUACUGCAAGUUGUUAUUGGCUUUACGUUUUUACUACGUAGCGUAGUGGUGAGGAUUUGAAGCGGCGCUCUCGGGUGCCGUGGAUCCGACGAUGAAACAGCCAUUUUUAAAGAUGUAAAAUCUAACCUGUUGAGAUUAAACUCAAUGGGGACAGUAGCUGCCGGGCAGUUUGUGUGGGGCGCAAUCCUUAACUUGGCGCCUCCGGAAGUUUAAUCCACUUCAAAACAAAUAAAUGUGGGGGACCGCGCUGAGUAAUUGGCGCGAGAAAUGUUGGCUAUAUGCUGGAAUAACCGGGUAUGGAAAACUACUUGAUAAGUGCUAUCAUCAAAACAUAGUCGUUUAUUAAAGUGAAAAUGUUUUCCUGCGGUCAAUCAGCAGGGAAGUUAAAAUAUUAAAUUAAAAGUAUGGAGAAAUCAGAAAAACAGGAAUUUAAUGUCGUUGAAUGGCGAAACAAUGAAAUCGGAACAAUGAGAGAUCUAGUAGAAGAAGGCGCAACUGUGAAAGCCUGGGAAAGGCUUAACAUAGCCUAUGACGCCGUAAGAAACGAAAAUAGCAGCAAGGACGCAAACACAAUCAAGUGUUUCAAAGAAAGCGCGCGAUGAUGUUAAAACAUCCGGACGUUCAGAUAUUCGAAAAUUUGUACGAAAUUCAACAAAAAUUUAAUAAAUAAUUUAACCCCUCAGAGACUAAACGCCAACCUCCUAAAAUAAACUCGGGAUUUAUCCUGAGUCUGUCGAAGGAUGAUGAUAUAGUCCGAUCUUCAUGGCGACAUGAAGCUAACAAAAAUACCUAAAAAGUAACGGAGGAGUUUAUUAAGGUCAGCUAGGCGCGGAUGGACAUCGCGCUAGUCGUGUAAUAGCAAAAGCUGGCUUAACUGCAAGACGGGCAUGUCGCGCAGUUGCGAAAGCAGAAUAUAGUGAACCGACCGUAGGCACUCGAUGCCGCGGAAGAUUAACGGAUAAAAGCUACUCUGGGGAUAACAGGCUAGUUCCGUCCAAGAGUCCAUAUCGACGACGGAGUUCGGCACCUCGAUGUCGGCUCAACUUAUCCUGGGGGUGGAGAAGCUCCCAAGGGUUUGGCUGUUCGCCAAUUAAAAAGUUACGUGAGCUGGGUUCAAACCGUCGUGAGACAGGUUAGUCUCCUAUCUACUGUGCCCGUUGAUUUUUGAGGGGAGUUCUCCCUAGUAAAUUUUGCUACUUCAUGGAGUAAUCCAUGAUGACAAUUUGGCUAAUAACGGUGGAACCUUCAUAAAUUUUCUGGUUGUAUUUAUCCACAGCCCAUAGGUCCGGGGUGUGGUAUCAUGAAGUUACUUGAGGACCAGAAAAUUUUUAAGGCAAUACCGUGGGAAGUCGAUCUAAAACUAAAAAGAACAAAUUAAAUUAUGCUUACAUUGCCGGAUUUUUAGACGGUGACGGCAGUUUGAUGCUGCAGAUUAAAAAACGCAGCGAUUCAAAGAAAGGUUGGCGAUUUAUGUCCACUAUCUGUUUUUAUCAGGAUAGCAGGCACGAUAAGCCGCUUUCAUGGAUCAAGAAAAUUCUUGGUAUUGGAUAUUUAUCGAAGCGAAACGAUGGAAUGACGGAAUUGCGGAUAAAUGGUUAUCGGCAAAUUCACGAUAUUCUCAAAAUUUUGCUUCCAUUUAUUCAAUUCAAGCGAGUUCAGGCAGAAGCGCUUUUGAAAGCAUCUGCUUUGCUUGCUAAAAAAUCUUUAGUUGGAUUUUCGCUUGAAGAACGGCAAAAAUUGUUAAAUUGGAUUUUGAUAAUCCAGUCCAAUAAUUAUGCCAGUCGGACGAAAACUACUAAAGAGAUUUUGGAAAAAGUUUUAGAUUUGACCCCGUAACGACUUGUUCCUGAUUUUUUAGUCAGGACGGACUCAUAUAAAUUGGAAAGCCGUGCAAUAAUAUGCCGGCAGAUUUAUGUGGGUAAUACGCCAACCCCCGCAGUUGCGGGGUGAAGAUAUAGUCUGUGCUCCUAGAAAUAGGGGGUAUACAUGACGAGAGGACCGGGAGGAGUUGACCUCUGGUCUACGAGCUCUGCCGCCAGGUGGAUCGCUCGGUAGCUAUGUCGAUAAGUGAUAAGCGCUGAAAGCAUCUAAGCGCGAAGCACGCCCCAAGAUUAGAAAUCGUUAUCAGACUCGUGGAAGAUGACCACGUUGAUAGGCUCUAGGUGUAAGCAUCGUAAGGUGUUCAGCCGAGGAGUACUAAUGUUCGAAUUGCUUUUUACG
rnacentral:ncRNA from 1 species